CCCUUAGAUGUUCUGGGCCGCACGCGUGCUACACUGAGUGGAUCAGCGGGUCAGGUUGCGCGAAAGUGUUUCCUAAUCUUGAAAUCCGCUCGUGAUGGGGAUUGACGGUUGCAAUUUUCCGUCAUGAACGAGGAAUACCUUGUAAGCGCGGGUCAUCAUCUCGCGCUGAAUACGUCCCUGCCCUUUGUACACACCGCCCGUCGCUCCUACCGAUUGAGUGGUCCGGUGAGGCUUUGGGAUCUGAGCGGAAAGAGCGUUUCGCUGUUUCUGCUCGGAAAACUCAGUCGAACCUUAUCAUUUAGAGGAAGGAGAAGUCGUAACA
rnacentral:rRNA from 1 species